UGCUACUCAUAUAUAAAGAAAAUUUCAGUCAUGAGGAAAUGUUUCCAAAUCACCAAGGAAUGCUGUAAUAUAGUAUAAGGUAAUGAGUAUAAUGAUAAAAUCCCUGCUUCAUCACAUACCAACUGUGUGACUUAAACAUGUAACUUAAGUUUCAUCUUAGAUUAAUUUCAUAGAGUUUCAUUUUUAUCUUUGAGUUUAUAGAUUUUUUUUCUGGCUAGAAUAUAAAUUGCCUCCCUUUUAUUUAUUGAAAAUUCCUACAUAUAGUUAAAGUAGGCAUAGUAAAUGGAUACUGACAAUAUAAUCUGAAAAAAUAAUAAGAAGCCAUAAAACAAUUUGUCCUAAAAUAAAGCGCAUGUGUCAAAGGCUUGAGAGUAAUGAGAGAAGAUUUUAAGAAGGAAGUGUCACUUAGGCUGGGUGAAACACUGAGGAGUGGUCACAAGGAAGAAGCUUUCUGUUUAGACAAAUACAUAUGGAAUAGGAAAUGGUGGGAUUAGUAAAAGGAAAGAGAUUUUUGCUCUUCAUAGAAUCAUGGGAUAGAAAAACACUAGAGGAAAUGAAAUAGAAAUAUUGUUUAAUCCAAAACUGUGGGUUCUAGUUUAACAAGAUUGACUUUUGUCCUGUGGGUAUAAACAUGUUUCUUAAGAAGGUGGACAUAAUCGGAGUUAUACUUGAGGAAAAUUUAUUUUAUAGUGGUGAGUAAGAUGAGUAGAAUUGCCCAAAAAUGUGUAUAUGACUUUCUCUCUCUUGCUUGCUCUUGCUCUCAUUUUUUUAACUUUCAGCAUACUGCUAUCCCCAAAUUUUCUUCAUGACAAUGCUGGCAGUCAGUACCACACCCCAUUUCCUAUCACACACACCCGCAAACACCAAAUUAGUUACCAAUUCUCGAUAUUUCUUCUUAUGAAUAAACUGCCUCAGGUACCUUGCUUAUGCUUAUACAUUGUCGUUGGGAUUAACGACAAUCACUGUGAUUUGAGCUGUAACUAUCUUCUUCCAGGAUUAACAUGCUCCUAAUUAAUCUCCCUAUUUACACUACUGACCCUCCAGAGUUGGGCCCAGACAAGAGACCUUCUGCUCUAUGUCUUUCAAGCUAAUAAGACAAGAUCAAGUUCAGGUUCCGAAACAAAGGAAAGCUUUACUCUUUGAUCAAAGAACAGACAGGUGUGACCCCAGGCCCUAAAGCACAGGUUCUGCCUGAGCAACUGGAGGCAGGGCUGCUUUAAGGGAUCUGUCAAUGGGCGGGGGGUGGAGUUCUCACAAGCAGGUGCCUCUGUGCUGCUCCAGCUCCAGAUCACAGUGCCUGGUGCAACAGCUCUGCGCAUGCCCGGCCCUGCCGCCAUCUUGAAUUGAGUACCGUGCUUCUUGUUUCCUCACGCUGCCCCACGAAGCUGGGGGGUCAGCAGGACCAUUUGACACCUGGAACUCUGGUCUAAAGUGCCAGAUUCGAGGCCUCUACACGCGGCGCCAUAUGAGCGGGUCAAAUUAGUCUGAGCGCAAAGGAAAAAAGGUUAGACUUUAUCUUAUUACCCAGAUUGUAUUUUUAUUGCCACAGAAUUGUAAAUGGGUUUUGCCUGUGACAAAUCCCUCUGUCUUUUUUCCUGCCUCUCAUUCUCAGGGGGUGUUGAUGGGGUGCAUGCAAAUCUUCUGGAAUUACUUCUUGUUGAUUUGGAGCAUUGUCAUAACCCGGCUAAAAGAGUAGAACGUCUCCACCUGCCCUUUGUUAUGCAUGGUUAUUGCCAGGUGUCAGCCCUAUUCAUAUGCCUAAGCCAUAACCAUUCGUCUCAUCUUUUGGAGACAAAGGCCAUAUUAACACAUGCCCAUGUUAGCCAGAGAAUAAAGGUCAUAUAAUUUUCUUUUUCCUGAAAAUGAAGUUGUCUAGGUCUGAUGCCUGUGGGCAAAAGUGUGCCCUGAUGUUGAGGCUCUGCUGUGACCUGAAUAUCCCUGCGUUGCUUAUUUUUUGGAAGAGAAGCUUCAAGGCAAAGAGAGGUUCACAUGAGUGGGCUAGGGGGUCCACUGCCUCUAGUUGUCUCUCCCAGGGUUGUAGUACCCCCAAGUGAUCUCCUGCUACUUCAGAGCAGAAGGGGUGUUUAGACCCCCCCCCACACACACACACCCACGUGGGGUCUGUUCAACUUAAGAGAAUGCCUGACUUUGCAGGCUCCUGGUUUCCGAGGUUUUUUAGGCGCACCUAGUCUCCUGGCCAGAUGGAGUGAAAGGCCAGGUCCAUGGGUGUGGGCAGCAUUGGGUUACCAUAUUCUGUUAGAGCUUUCAUGGUUUCUUCUACCUGGAAGGCAUAUUGAGUUGUUCGAUUUCAAAGAGGUUAGUGUGUCUGCUUCACUUGGGCUUCGGGAAUGGGUCUAUCUUGCAGAAGUUCAAAUGCACUUAACUGUAAUUUAUCCCUUGGAGCUAACUACAUGCAGAAAAGGCAAUUAGAAGAAACUUAAUCCAAUUUUCUUGGGUUUCCUAACAAAGUUUGGCUGAGGCUUGUGUCGGGGUCUAAUUGGAUCUAUUUUUCCCAGUGAUUGGACUCUCCAGGCUGAGUGCAAGGUCCUUUUUAUGCCCAAGGCACUGAUUAUCCCCUUCAUCACUUGAGACACAAAUUCUGGGUCUUUAUCACUUUGUAGAAAUCCUGGGAGUGCAAACCUGGGGAUUAUUUUUCUCAAUAAUGCCUUAGCUACUUCAGCUGCCGUUGCAGUUGUAGCAGGGAAUGAUUCAGUCUACACAGAAAAUGUCUACUAAAGCAAGAAAUAACUGAAAUCGCAUGGUGUUGUUUUAAGAAAUACAUCUGGCAAUCUUCUCCAGGAGAUGGAAGAUAUAGAGAUAUAGGAUAUGUCGCUCUAUUCUGAAUGGCAUUAUUUAGAGACCUCUAGGGAGUCUGGUGUUGAAGCUGUUCAUUGUGCAGAUGGGGCAUGUUUCAACUGUCUUAUUAUACUUUUCAUGUUGGGAGUUGCCAUGGCCUCAAGUAACCAGUUAUGUAGGGCUUCCUUCCUGUAGUAAAUUCUUUGAUAAGCCUCCCUGAUAGCUUGACAAGCUGCAGUUUGGGGAAAGAAGUAUUGCCCACGUCCAUUAGCUAGCCACCCAUAGCCUCCUAAAUCUAUAUCAAAGCCCCAUUUUCUGUAUAUGUCUAAUUCUUCCUGUGUGCACAUCGGGGAAUAAUUGGGUGGAUAUGAGGAGGGGUAGUUGCCAAGUUACUGGUUCUAGGGCUACCCUUUUGGAAGUUGCAUCUGCCUUGUUUAUACUUCUUUAUCUUCCUUUUGAUGACCCCUAUAAGAAAUCACUGCCGUAGUUUUCUGGAAGUUGUACUGCUUCAAAGAACUUCAGUAUGCUUUAAGCCAUGUUUCACCUAUUAAUUCUCCUCAGUAAACAUACCUUUUUCCUUCCAUAUAGAGAUGUGUGUGUGUGUGUGUGUGUAUAUGUAUAGAAUGGCAUAUGCAUACUAGGAAUCUGUGUAAACAUUUAAGGUCUUCCCUGUCCCAGGCUCUAAGGUUCAUGUGAGGUCUGUUGGCUCCACCUUUGUGAAGAAGUCCCUGAGUGUAGGCUUCUUGCUUCUGUAAUUUGUGUCUGGGAGGUUACCAUGUACCCUACCAGGCUUUUUCCCUCUCUCAUAAACUUGAUCCCAUCUGUGAACCAUUCCUCUUCAGUGUUUGGGAGAGGGUCACUUCCUAGGUCAGAGCAACUGGAGUAGAGCAUGUCUGUGGUUUUUACACAAUCUUGCUUCGGGGGUCUUAUUUCUCAGGGCAGUAAGGUGGCAGGAUUUAGUGUGUGGUAGGUUUUUAUGGUAGUCAGUGAGUUGUGUAGAUGCAUAGCCUGAACUUGAAUCAACCUUCAAGGGGAUGGCCAUUCAUUAGUAGAACUAACUAAACCUGAACUUCUUGUAAAGUCUGUGUGGUGAUUGGCUGACUAAAUAUUAACUUUUUAGCCUCCUUUAUCAGGUUGUAAGGUAGGCCAUCCCUUAGCAGUUUGAUCUAAUUCUUUAGAGAAAGAAACAACCACUGAGGAAGGGGGUCUCAGUUUUUGAGCUAAUAUAUACCAAGGUCAUUUACCCUUCUUUCAUGAAAGUGAAAGUUAAAAGGGUUUAGCUAAAUCUGGGAAGGCCAGAGCAGAGGUCUAAAGUAAUUGCUUUUUCAGUUCUUGAAAGGCCCCUGGUUAGUUAGGCCUAAUGGCCCCAUGAAUGCCCAUUCUUGGGCCUUCCCUUCUACCUCUGUAGUUUUACAACUCUUGUGACCAGGUUUGCUUGAUCUGGUGUUCAGAAACUAAUAAGUGGCACUAGUGUCAACUAAGAAUUUAACAGGUUUGCCCUCAUGUCCAGUGUCAGCCAGGGCUUCUUGCGGGAAGGUACAGCAGUCUUGCUCAUGGUAUUCUUUAUCACAGUGCCAGGUGCAGCAUUUCUACACAUAGGUACACUGUCACCACCUUGAAUCAAGGUAUUGUGUGCACUUCUGCACACAGCCUACCAAGCUGAAGUGUCAGGUGCAUUCAUUUUUCACUAGGCAUGCUGGUCUGCAGCGCCAGGUGCCAAUCAUUUGUAGGUAGCACCCUAUGAGCCAGUGAAACUAAG
rnacentral:lncRNA from 1 species